GCUGUUUAUCACAAUACACAACAGAUCCUAAAUUUUUACAUUUGUAUUUUUGUAAAACUACUUUAUUAUCAUUAUUAGUAAUAUUGAAAAUGUUUGUUUAUUGUCACUAUAAAAGGUAUCAUGCUUAAUGCCUGAAUAUCUGCGAUUAAGAUCAGUCAGUUUAAGGUCAAGUUACAGUAAAUGGGCAAUGUCACAAAUAUUUCUAGAUGAAAAAUACCACAAAAUGUUCAGAUAAGCGUAACGACAUUGUGUUGUAAGUCAUAAAAGAGUAUUUUGAUGUUUUUUCACAACCAACUAGCUAUAAACAUAUUACACCA
rnacentral:lncRNA from 1 species